AGAGUUUGAUCCUGGCUCAGGAUGAACGCUAGCUAUAGGCUUAACACAUGCAAGUCGAGGGGAAACGGCAUUAUGUGCUUGCACAUUCUGGACGUCGACCGGCGCACGGGUGAGUAUCGCGUAUCCAACCUUCCCUCCACUCGGGGAUACCCCGUUGAAAGACGGCCUAAUACCCGAUGUUGUCCACAUAUGGCAUCUGACGUGGACCAAAGAUUCAUCGGUGGAGGAUGGGGAUGCGUCUGAUUAGCUUGUUGGUGCGGGUAACGGCCCACCAAGGCUACGAUCAGUAGGGGUUCUGAGAGGAAGGUCCCCCACAUUGGAACUGAGACACGGUCCAAACUCCUACGGGAGGCAGCAGUGAGGAAUAUUGGUCAAUGGACGGAAGUCUGAACCAGCCAAGUAGCGUGCAGGAUUGACGGCCCUAUGGGUUGUAAACUGCUUUUGUUGGGGAGUAAAGUGGGGCACGCGUGCCUUUUUGCAUUUACCCUUCGAAUAAGGACCGGCUAAUUCCGUG
rnacentral:rRNA from 1 species